rnacentral:rRNA from 1 species
CAAUAGCGUAUAUUAAAGUUGUUGCAGUUAAAAAGCUCGUAGUUGAAUUUUUGCUUGCCGCCGAUGUCGGAACUUCCGUACGUUCGGCGGCGUGCAUCCUUGGGUGGAACCUGCGUGGCAUCAGGUUGUCGUGUAGGGGAUGCUCAUCGUUUACUGUGAAAAAAUUAGAGUGUUCAAAGCAGGCUUACGCCGUUGAAUAUAUUAGCAUGGGAUAAUAAGAUAGGACCUUGGUACUAUUUUGUUGGUUUGCGCACCGAGGUAAUGAUUAACAGGGACAGUUGGGGGUAUUCGUAUUCCAUUGUCAGAGGUGAAUUUCUUGGAUUUCUGGAAGACGAACUACUGCGAAAGCAUUUACCAAGGAUGUUUUCAUUAA